GGCUCUGUAAAGCCAAAUCUCGCGCUACGGCGUCGGUCUACGGAACCGAAGGUCACAGGUUCGAAUCCUGUCGGGCGCG
rnacentral:tRNA from 1 species